rnacentral:rRNA from 1 species
UGGGGAAUAUUGCACAAUGGGCGAAAGCCUGAUGCAGCAACGCCGCGUGAGCGAUGAAGGCCUUCGGGUCGUAAAGCUCUGUCCUCAAGGAAGAUAAUGACGGUACUUGAGGAGGAAGCCCCGGCUAACUACGUGCCAGCAGCCGCGGUAAUACGUAGGGGGCUAGCGUUAUCCGGAAUUACUGGGCGUAAAGGGUGCGUAGGCGGUCUUUCAAGCCAGAAGUGAAAGGCUACGGCUCAACCGUAGUAAGCUUUUGGAACUGUAAGACUUGAGUGCAGGAGAGGAGAGUGGAAUUCCUAGUGUAGCGGUGAAAUGCGUAGAUAUUAGGAGGAACACCAGUAGCGAAGGCGGCUCUCUGGACUGUAACUGACGCUGAGGCACGAAAGCGUGGGGAGCAAACAGGAUUAGAUACCCCCGUAGUCC